rnacentral:rRNA from 1 species
UACAGAGGGUGCGAGCGUUAAUCGGAAUUACUGGGCGUAAAGCGUGCGUAGACGGUUAUUUAAGUCGGGUGUGAAAGCCCCGGGCUCAACCUGGGAAUUGCAUUCGAGACUGAAUAGCUAGGGUACGGUAGAGGGAAGCGGAAUUUCCGGUGUAGCGGUGAAAUGCGUAGAUAUCGGAAGGAACAUCAGUGGCGAAGGCGGGUUGCUGGGCUGACACUGACGCUGAGGCGCGAAAGCUAGGGGAGCGAACGGG